rnacentral:lncRNA from 1 species
UGAAUUCAGCCGAGUGAAUUUGCAUUUGCAACCCUGCGCUCUGGUUUACAGGGUGUGCUGGAGGAGCUGAGCCGGCGCCCUGCCUCUCCGUGGGGGCUGUACCUGAGGGUGGGGGCCCCUGAGCUCCUGGGGGCCUCUCUCUCCUCUCUGCUGAGGUCCUACAGCUCAGAGCAGCUCUACAGACCGGUGUGGGUCGGUAUGGGCGCACGCAGCACCUACAGCGCACAGGAUUUUGUCUCCGUGGUGGAGCAGGUCUUUCCUCACUGCACUGUGGUCCUGAAUGAGGCGUCCGCUGCCCAGAGACUGUCCCCAAGUCUGUCCAGAGACUGGCUGUGCACCUGAGCGGCAGAGAGGCGCUCCAGACUGCUCUGACAGAAAUGGAAACAUUUGACCUCAUCCUGGAGACGGAGACGUUUAAUACACCGGUGGGACGGCAGAGGGACAGCACUGGACCAAAUAUAUAUGUCUUACCUCAACAGUCAGAACCGCAGAGAGAGAGUUAACGUGUAUGCCUAUUUAUAUGAAAAUGAUGUAAAUAUAUAUAAGUGAAAUGAUCAUGUUGUAAAAAUGCAAUUAUGGAGUAAAGUCAAUUCACAUGUGUGAACACCAGUCCUGGACGCCACUUUGUUUUUGAAUCUGUUAAUGAACACAAAACACUCAGAAAAGCUGCUUCAUCCUUAAAUAAUAAAAAUACUGUACAGUAUUUACAGCCCGUAUUCCACUAUUGGAUUGAGGCUCUGUGCUCAAAGUGCGUUCAUCAUGGCCCCAUGGAGUUACUAACAUCUCUGUGUCAUUCCCACUGCUGCCUGCAGAGGGAGCAAACUCCUCACCAGACCUGGCCCCUGUGUCACUGUCUUAAAUUUCAAUAUUUCAGAUGAUAAACGUAAAAGGUCAAUGCUGGGGUACUCAAGGAACAUUUAAAGUCUCGGUUAUGUAAGAUAUGACCUGUUCAAAUAUGAUCCGGACCAAGAUCUAAGUUCUACUGUGACUGAGCAGACUUGGGAUGAGCCUGUUUUAUGGAACCGAAAUGACAACAAUAAAAGACAAGUAAACCCAUCUUAUGGAGAGGAAACGCCUUCUGUUUUAGACUUGGUUUAGUCCUGAUAUGUCCGGAGCGUUUUUAGUGCGUUUGUUGGGAUCUGCUCACAGCUCAUCAUUACCUGAUAUGUUCUGCAUUGCUCUAAUCACACAUGCAAAUUUGUAAUGCUGCUCUCAAAGGCGGUGGACAGAAGACUCUCAAAUUGAGUUUAAUUCAGAACGAACUUUGUCGGCCUUCAAAAC